AUACAAGCUCUUCAUAAAAAAUUAUAUCUUCUUUUACUUCUUUUUUUGUUUACCUCUUUCUACCUGUCCCAGAUUUCAUCUGACGACACCCACGGUUUAUAUACCAAGAAAAUACCAAAUGAUAUGAGAAAUACUAAUGCUGUUUUUUGCAGAAUGUGUUUUGAUAAAUUAUAUUAAAGGGACACUAUAGUCAUCAAAACAACUUUAGCUUAAUGAAGCAGUUUUGGUGUAUAGAUCAUGCCCAUACAAACCCACUGCUUAAUUCUCUGCCAUUUAGGGGUUAAAUCACUUUGUUUAUAUAGCCCUAGGCACACCUCCCUGCAUGUGACUUAUAGCCUUCAUAAACACUUCCUGUAAAGAGUCAUCUAAUGUUUACACUUCCUUUAUUGCAAAUUCUGUUUAAUUUAGAAUUUCUCAUAUCCUGCUCUGAUAAUAGCUUGCUAGACCCUACAGGAGCCUCCUGUAUGUAAUUAAAGUUUUUAAAGUUGCAUCUGAUUGAAGAAGAAACCCAUUUUGUUUUUGAUGCAGGCUGUGUCAGUCACAUCCAGGGGAGGUGUGGCUAGGGCUGCAUAAAGAGAAACAAACGUGAUUUAACUCCUAAAUGGCAGAGAAUUCAGCAGUGAGACUUCAUAGGCAUGAUCUACACACAAAAACUGCUCCAUUAAGCUCAAGUUGUUUUGGUAACUGUAGUGUCUCUUUAACGUUUUCAAAUGGACUGCUUUUACAGAGUGACACAUAUGUCCUGACCUGCUGUACUAAAAAAGAUGCAUUUAAAAUGUUACUGUCUCUGUGUGUUUGCCCGAAUGAUGCUAUAAUGUAUCUGUGUUCGUAAGAGUGUUUCUAUGCCAUCAUUAAUAAUGGUGUGGUGUUAAAUGACACUGCUUAGGUUAAUGGGGGCUUAAUAGCUGUCAGGGGUAUCUGCAGUCAAUAUGUUGUAUACUGUUACUCCCAUUAAUCUCAGCCAGCCCGAGAGUGAUGUGAUUUAAAGCCGGCAGAUUUUUCAAUAUGCACUCAAGGUUAAAAGACCACUGCACUUUCACAUGCACCACUGUAUCUCCAUGUCACACUACUGUACUUCUACCGAUACAAUCUCAAUACUUUUAGGAUUACAGUACUAAGCUCUAUUGUUACUGUGCUCAGCUAAAUGUUGUGCCAUUUUACAGGGCUGUUCACUAACGCGAGAAUUUAAAGUGAAUUCAAUGUCAAAUUCAAAUUUAGUCAAAAUAGCUCAUCUGUAAAUAUUCCCAAAGUCAACCAUGCUGUCAGUUAGGCUACUCUGGCCUUAACUUUAAAAUGCUCUUUGAAUUCACUUUAAAUUCUCAGUAUGGUAAAUUAUCCCGAAAGUGUCACUAUAAUAACACUCAGCAAUUUAAACUCAACUUUUUUUUAAAUAUGAUCCAGAGACACUGCCCCCCCACCACCCCACCCCCCAAACACACACACACA